CCCCAUCAUCUCUCCCCCCCACCGCCCCGGUCUUAUUCCCUUAUCCUUUGGAAUGGCUCUGCUCCUGGAACCUUAGACUCCAGCGUAAUCAUGCUGGACUGCAGCCUUUUAGCCUUUUGGCUCCCUUACCUAUUUAUUUCUAAGAUCUCUGGUCCCUGUACUAUUCUCCCUUUUUCCCAAGCUCAUCAGUCAUACUUUCCCCCUCGUUCUUCUUCUUCUUCUUCUUUUUUUUUUUUUGCCAGCACAGACCCAUGCUACAUCACUUUAACCACUUGCCAAACCUCAAAGCCCUUCAUCCCCUGCCCGUUUUUUUUUUUUAAUUUUAUCUGAUUUUUUUUUCCAUUAUAGCUGCUUUAUAGUGUUCUGUCAAUUUUCUACUGUACAGCAAGGUGACCCAGUCCCACAUACAUGUAUACAUUCUUUUUUCUCACAUUAUCACGCUCCAUCAUAAAUGACUAGAUAUAGUUCCCAGUGCUAUACAGCAGAAUCUCAUUGCUUAUCCAUUCCAAAGGCAAUAGUUUGCAUCUAUUAACCCCAAAUUCCCAGUCCAUCCCGCUCCCGCCCCCUCGCCCUUGGCAACCACAAGUCUGCUCUCCAAGUCCAUGAUUUUCUUUUCUGUGGAAAGGGUCAUUUGUGCCAUAUAUUAAAUUCCAAAUAUAAGUGAUAUCAUAUGGUAUUUGUCUUUUUCUUUCUGACUUACUUCACUUAGUAUGAGAGCCUCUAGUUCCAUCCAUGUUGCUGCAAAUGGCAUUAUUUUGUUCUUUUUUUAUGGCUGAGUAGUACUCCUUGUGUAUAUACCACAUCUUCUUAAUCCAAUUAUCUGUCGAUGGACAUUUAGGUUGUUUCCAUGUCUUGGCUAUUGUGAACAGUGCUGCCAUGAAUGUGUGGGUGCAUGUGUCUUUUUUAAGGAAAGUUUUGUCCAGAUGUAUACCCAAGAGUGGGACUGCUAGGUCAUAUCCCCUGCUCUUCUCUAUCUGUCCACAAAAAUCCCAGUCUUGGGUUAGUCCAGCCAACUCCCUUGUUUGCUUCUACAUGCAGACUGUUGCCUGCUGUUGGAAAAGCCCAGUCAUGCUAAAGAAUGCCACUAUGAUUUUGUUAUCCUCAACCUCGGGGUCAUUCACCACAUUUCAGUGGGUCAUCAAAGCGUGGUGAGUCACUUAGCUUUAUGGGUCAUCAAGCUACUCAUUGUCCAUAUCUGCAACUCCAGACGCUGCCCACUGUCCUCAACUCCCCUGCCUACCCCUGGUUCCCUUCCGAGGUGAGGAUUCCUGGCCACCCAGUGUGACUCACCUUGGUCUUUUGUUUCAUAUCUGGAAAUCUCCAUCUUUUCACCUCUGGUGUUUCUUGCACGGGUGAAUAUCACGUCCUCCCAUCCUCUCCAGGACUUUGAUCCUUUGUGAUGGCUUUGUGACUCCACAAACUUAGGAAUAAAAUACCACUCCCAUCUUGAAAAAUGCCUCCAGCAACCUUUCACUUCCCUUUAUGUAUUUAUUUUUGUUGGCUGCACCCAUGGCAUGUGGAACUUCCUGGGUCAGAGAUCAGACCUAUGCCACAGCAGGGACUUGAGCCACUGCAGUGACAAUACCAGAUCCCUAACCUGCUGCACCACGUGGGAACUCCUCACUUCCCUUUAGAGGCUGCCUGUCUCCGUCUUUUGUGGGAUGGCAUGAAAAGCCCAGCUGAUGUGACCCUACAUUUCAGUGUCACAAAUCGGCAUGACCAUGAGGUUGGUUUCUCACAAUGGCUCACAGAUUUCUGGAGCAAAGGGGAAGACAGCUGGUAGUUGAUGGGACUCACUCAUACAUCUGGUAGAUGGUUGGCUAUUGGCGGGGGAGAGGGGGUUAACCAAGACCUGUAUCUGGUAUGCAUCAUCCAGCAGGCUAGUCCUGGCUCAUUUACAUAAUAGCAACCACAGGAUUCCCAAGAAAAGCAAGAGAGAGAACUCUGCAAGGUGUCUUGUGGCCUAGGCCUAGAACUUGUAAAACAUCACUUCUGUCUUAUUCUUUUGGUCAAAGCAAGUCAGAAGGCCAGCCUACGUUCAGGGAGUUAUUUCCUUACAGUUUUACAAGUCCAAGAUCAAGCUGCUGGUAGCCGUGGUUCCUUCUGAGGACCUCUAGGGAAGGACCUGUCUCGGGCUUCUGGAUGGAUUUCUUCUUCCUGGGCCUCUUCAUGUUAUCUUUUCUCUGUUUGUAUCUUGUCCAAAUUUCCCUCUUCUUAUAAGGACACCAGUCCUACUGGAUGAGGGCCCACCCUAGAGCAUCAUUUUAAAUUAAUCACAUCCGCAAAGACCCUACCACCAAAUAUGGUCACAUUCCGAGGUCCUAGGAGUUAGGAUUAUGUCAUGAAUUCUUUGGGGGGAGGGACACAAUUCAUCACAUGAUGACCCCCCCCCCCCACCGCCCCUGCCAUCUUCUGCCUCAUUCUAAAACAGCUUUAUGAGAGUGGUAACAUUGAAAUCUCACUCCCUUAGUUAAUGCCAACUGAUAGUAUAUUUUUUGCCUUUAUUAUUUUUAUUUUUAUUGUUUUAUUUUUUUGCUUUUUAGGGUCGCACCCGUGGCAUAUGGAAAUUCCCAGGCUAGGGGUUGAAUCAGAGCUACAGCUGCUGGCCUACACCACAGCCACAGCAACUGGGGAUCCAAGCCGUGUCUGCGACCUACAUCACAGCUCACGGCAAUGCCAGAUCCCUGACCCACUGAGCAAGGCCAGGGAUCAAACCGGCAUCCUCAUGGAUCCUAAUCAGGUUUAUUAAUGGCUGAGCCAUGAAGGGAACUCUCAUUUUUUUAAUGUCUCCCUUACUAGACUGUAAGCUUCAUGAGAGCAGCAUGAUUUGUCUUUGUGUGUCCAGCACUUGAAACAGUAGACACUCCCCAACCAACAGUGGUUAAUUUGAAUGUAUGACUUCCAGCUUAUGAAAAAAGAAACCAUGUAAAAUUAUCCUUUUACUAGAGGCCCGGAGAAAAUGGUCCUCCAGAAAGAGUGAUCUCAAGAUUUGUAAUUUAGAAAAGAGUGAUGAAUGAUGUGGCCUCAGUGCCUUGUGGCUGAUCAUGAACAAGCGAGUGAGGCAAUUCUAGCCUUCACCCAUUCAAGGUCGUAUUAUAACAAGUGCAGAGUGACUGAAGGACACGGUUGAGAGAAUGGAACUCGAUAGACCCACAUGUGCAAUUGGAACACGUUCUGUUAGUGAAAGAAAGAAACUGAGUCUGUAUUGCAAAUGACAGCAACGUUAGAUUUUUCUGAAACAGUCUGUGUUAGGGUCUUCCAGAGAAAGAACAUCCAGACAAACGGGGGUGUGUGUGUGUGUGUGUGUGUGUGUGUGUGUGUGUGUGUGUGUGUGUGUGUGUGUGGAGGGUGGUAUGAGAGAGAGAGAGAGGUAUUUGAAGAACGUGGUUCAUGCAAGUAUAGCAGCCUGGUAAGCCCAGACUUUGCAGAGCAGGUCAGCAGGCUGGGGACCGAGGGUGGAGUCGCCGUUGGAGUCCCAACGUCAUCUGAUGGCAGAAUCCUUGCUCAGGGAGGUCUGUCUUUGUCAAUUAAGGCCUUCAACUGAUUUGACGAG
rnacentral:lncRNA from 1 species